GACAGUGACAUCCCUGAGUCACAGAAAUCUCAAGUUCUACUUCCCUUAGAUAGAACUGGAAGAUACAAGAUCACUGCCCUCAUUGAGAAAUGGGCACCAAGCUCUUCUCCUGGAUGACCUUCAUUCUCUUGUGGGCAGGACAUAUAGAGGCUGGAAUCACCCAGAGCCCAAGAUACAAGAUCACAAAAACAAAAGAAAAAGUGAGUUUGAAAUGCUAUCAGCCCAACAGCCAUAACUCCACGUACUGGUAUCGACAAGACCCAGGAUACGGACUGAAGCUGAACCAUUACUCAUACGGUGUUGACAACCAGGACAAAGGAGAAGUCCCUGACAGAUACAGUGUCUCCAGAGAAAACACAGAGGACUUUCCCCUCACUCUGGACUCAGCCACCCUGUUCCAGUCAUUUGUGUACUUUUGUGCCACCAGUGAUUCCACAGUGCUGCAUAAGCACUCCCUCUCUCUACAUAAAGUGUUGUUAUGGAGACUGUGGUUGUCUGUGCCUACAAACCCUGGCUCCAACUUCUGA